rnacentral:lncRNA from 1 species
GGCCAGCCAUAGGGUGUUAUUGGGCUGUUUGGGCCUUUCUGAAUAUUUAGUCAUUAAGUUGUCAUACAACUUAAGUCAAUGGGCUUGACGUUCGAAGACCAUUGGGCCUUGAGGCCCAAAACUAACUCGAGGUCUUUAAUGAACUUCAUUCGUUUGAUUAAUUAACAUAUUAAUUAAUCCUUGCCAUAAAUAAUUAAACCAUUUAAUUAUCCUUACUCAUC